rnacentral:rRNA from 1 species
UACGUAGGGUGCGAGCGUUGUCCGGAAUUAUUGGGCGUAAAGAGCUUGUAGGCGGUUUGUCGCGUCUGCCGUGAAAACCCGCAGCUUAACUGCGGGCCUGCAGUUGAUACGGGCAGGCUAGAGUUCGGUAGGGGAGACUGGAAUUCCUGGUGUAGCGGUGAAAUGCGCAGAUAUCAGGAGGAACACCGGUGGCGAAGGCGGGUCUCUGGGCCGAUACUGACGCUGAGGAGCGAAAGCGUGGGGAGCGAACAGG